rnacentral:rRNA from 1 species
UACGUAGGGUGCGAGCGUUAAUCGGAAUUACUGGGCGUAAAGCGUGCGCAGGUGGUCAUGUAAGACAGAUGUGAAAUCCCCGGGCUUAACCUGGGAAUUGCAUUUGUGACUGCAUGGCUAGAGUGUGGCAGAGGGGGAUGGAAUUCCGCGUGUAGCAGUGAAAUGCGUAGAUAUGCGGAGGAAAACCGAUGGCGAAGGCAGUGCCCUGGGCCUGCAAUGACACUCAAGCACGAAAGCGUGGGGAGCAAACAGG